AAGUCUACUUAGAUCAGAUCUUUAUUUAAUAAUGUCACAUCAUUACUCAAAUAUUCAGAAUCAUCCAUAUCUACAUGCCCAACUAUAUCACACUACCACUACAAUCUUGUCAUAUUGGUUUAGCAAAAGA
rnacentral:pre_miRNA from 1 species